AGGGAUCCGGAAGAGACGAGGCAGGAAGAAACUCCUGGUCCUUUCGCUUUUAAGGAACGUGCCACCUAGACAAGAAGGCCUGGGUGUCAGCCAGACCACACAUGGAUCCUUGAGCCAUCCUAUGGGAAUAUGACCUGAGAGGCCCUUCCCAUUGACUCAGCAGCGGGAUGGAGAAACCCCAGCAUAUCAUGGUUUCGUGGACUGAAAAUCCAUCCGGGGUCAUCUGCUGGGGUCCUGCCUGUGCCUCCUCAACACUCAGAGUCCCUAAGGUGAUGACUGCAGCUAUGACCCUGCUGAGAGCUUUCUCCUGAUGCCAGGGCACACUUGGCCCACUCACUGGACAAGACAGAAGUACUGGAGAUGUUGUACUCACAGAAAUGUUGUUCAGCCAAUGACAGGGAAUUGAUGAUGAUGUUAGUAUCCUCUCCCCUUGUACUGGAUAAACCUGAGUGUUCUUGUGUCCGGGAGGUCCCCAGUGGGAUUGAGCUCCAGUUGUCCACAGAGGGGAAUUUCUUCAUCACACCUGAUUUCUUGGCAGCCUUUUCCUCCCUGUGUCACUCCCUAAUCUGUUAACGGUGUUCCCUGGGAUCAUCCCCCAAAUAAACUACCUGGCCUUGCAUUCUUGUCCCAAGGUGUGCAACUGAGAGAACCCUAAAACAUCACCCAUUUAACUUUUUUUUUUUUUUUUCUGAGACAGACUCUCACUGUUGCCCAGGCUAGAGUGCAGUGGUGCGAUCUCGGCUCACUGCAGCCUCCGCCUCCUGGGUUCAAGCGAUUCUUGUGCCUCAGCCUCCUGAGUAGCUGGGAUUACAGGUGCCCACCACCACGCCCAGCUAAUUUUUGUAUUUUUAGUAGAGACAGGUUUCCGCCGUGUUGGCCAGGCUGGUCUAGAACUCCUGACCUCAGGUGAUCCACCCGCCUCGGCCUCCCAAAGUGCUGAAAUUACAGGCGUGAGCCACCACACCUGGCUUUUAAUUUUAUAAGCCCCACUUACUGACCCACAGGGACCAAACCCUGCUGUAUGGGAGGAACUUCCAGAUCCCCUUCCUCCCAUUGAUGGGCCUCCUAAGGCACAGAUGAAGAGAGAGGGCUUGCUACCAACUUGAUAGUUCUCAUAAGAAUCUCCAUAGCUCAUACAAAUUAAAGUGGUUUCAUAGUUCCCAAUGAUGUCCCUGGUGGCCAUGUCGGUGCGUCCCACCUUUGUUGUGGAAAUGGAACCAUAGUGAUUGGUCCGUGCCAUGAGCGUGUCAUUCAAGCUAGGCCAAUUAGAGAUAUCUCCUGGAACUUUUUACACCAAAACUAAUGGAGAGAUGUUCUCUGAACUCCAAGAGUUGCUAAAGCUGGAAGGCUGUGAUUCUGGAGUGGCCAGAGUCCAUCUUCCCCUCCCCGUGGAGAAGUCUGCCUGUGACUGGUAAGAAUGGCUCCAACAGGCAAAGAGCAGCAGAGAAAAGAGAGAACAGCCUGGUGGCCUUUGGGUGUCUGAAUCCAGUCAUCUGGGGUAUUGGCUCCACCGGGUGCUGUCCAUGGUUUGUGUAUGUGAAACAAUGAAUUACCCUUUCUUGCUCAAAGUAGUUACAGUUCGGUUUCUGUCACUUCCAACAAAAAAUCUUUGAUGAAUACAGAUAUCCCCAGCAAUGGAAAAGAUGAGGAGAUUUCAGGUGGCCUCCCAGGCAGUGGAUGUUCACAGCUGGGACAAGACUGGGGGGCUACAAAAAUGGCUGCCAAUAGCUGGUCUUUAAGCAUGUAACAAAUACCUUCCAGGGACUCCUAGGGAUACACAUGUCCCCUGAUAUUCUCUCUCUCUUUCUGUCUCUCUCUUACACACACACACACACACACACACAACACCAGGGAUAAAGAAAAAAUACCUUUAAGGAAAAGAUAUUACCAUAACAACAUUCUUAGUCAGGUACUGUAUUGUUUAACCUCUUUGUAAAGCUCAUUCCUUAAGUAUGUUCUUUUCAACUCUACAAGGCAGCAAAGAAAAUAGAUGUUUUAGCUAUUGUUCUCUUAUUCACGCUCUUCUUUCGGAAUCGUUCCUAAAUUAAUUACCUUUUAUAACCUUAUAUAACCAUAAAAACUAUAGUCAUUCUUUAUGAGGAAUUGCACAAUACAUAUCUCUCAAACAGAAGUUCUCGUGCGCAUGUAAAAGCUUGAACAUAAAGUGCUGGGGUCUUUGUCAAGUCCUCCAGGAGCAGAUCCUAGUGUAGCGGGCAGAUGUAGGAGCUAAGAGGCAUAAACUCCGAGUCAAUGUUUUGUUUCUUCUUUAUUAUUUGGGAAGAAAUAUUGCUUAAUUGAAAUAAAAUGAGUGUAAAUUUUUCUAUAGCCCCAUUCUGAGAGGUGAGGGAGGAACUAUCAUGUGAAUAUUCAUUAUUUGAGAAUUAAUUGUACUUUGGUACUUUGGAGUUGAAGGGAGAACACGAAGAAGACUUUGCAAAAAGGGUGUGAGGCCCCAUGCGAGUGAAAAAUAGUAGGAAGAGAAACCAUGGGCUUUUGAUAGAAAGUAGAUUCCAUCGUUGUCAGGAACGUUUCCUCCUUCCCCUCCACCUCCAUGGAUGGAGUAUACUUCCUCACCCCUUGACUUCGGGCUUGGCCCUGAGACUUGCUUUGGCCAAUGGAAUAGCACCAGACAUAAAACAAAUGAGCUUGGAAUAUGCCUGCACAGCUAGGCAAACUCUCCUACAAUUCCAUCAUCUCCAAGAGUUAAAUAUGUUCUGGUUAGCCCACUGGUUCCAGGAAGAGGAUGGGAGUCACGUGCAGCAGAGCCACCCAGCCUACUUAUGGAGUGAAGCAGAGCCACCAGCUGAUCAGGAAACUUGUAAUCCCAGUGCUUACUGUCAUAUGCCACUGAGAGUUUGAGGUUGAUUGUUAUGUGGCAUUGCUAGAGCAGUAACUAAUUGACAGAAGCUGUUAGUGUGAUUUCCCUUGAAUGUGCAAACUGAAGAAGCUCAGCAUCGUUUGGAUUAUUGUACUAAUAAAAGUAAAGCUGAAGUGA
rnacentral:lncRNA from 1 species